UGGGGAAUAUUGGACAAUGGGCGCAAGCCUGAUCCAGCCAUGCCGCGUGAGUGAUGAAGGCCUUAGGGUUGUAAAGCUCUUUCAGUGGGGAAGAUAAUGACGGUACCCACAGAAGAAGCCCCGGCUAACUUCGUGCCAGCAGCCGCGGUAAUACGAAGGGGGCUAGCGUUGUUCGGAUUUACUGGGCGUAAAGCGCACGUAGGCGGAUUGGUCAGUUAGGGGUGAAAUCCUGGAGCUCAACUCCAGAACUGCCUUUAAUACUGCCAAUCUCGAGUCCGGAAGAGGUAAGUGGAACUCCUAGUGUAGAGGUGGAAUUCGUAGAUAUUAGGAAGAACACCAGUGGCGAAGGCGGCUUACUGGUCCGGUACUGACGCUGAGGUGCGAAAGCGUGGGGAGCAAACAG
rnacentral:rRNA from 1 species